CCUACGGGUGGCAGCAGUAGGGAAUAUUGCACAAUGGGGGAAAGCCUGAAGCAGCAACGCCGCGUGGAGGAUGAAGGUUUUCGGAUUGUAAACCACUUUUGUUAGAGAAGAUAACGAAGAUAUUUAACGAAUAAGCACCGGCUAACACCGUGCCAGCAGCCGCGGUAAUACGGCGGGUGCAAGCGUUACUCGGAAGCACUGGGCGUAAAGAGCGCGUAGGCGGGCGUGCAAGGCAGAUGUGAAAUCCUAUGGCUUAACCAUAGAACUGCAUUUGAAACUGUUACUCUAGAGUAUGGGAGAGGUAGGUAGAAUUCUUGGUGUAGCGGUGAAAUGCGUAGAGAUCAGGAGGAAUACUCAUGGCGAAGGCGACCUGCUAGAACAAGACUGACGCUGAUGCGCGAAAGCGUGGGGAGCAAACAGGAUUAGAUACCCUGGUAGUC
rnacentral:rRNA from 1 species